rnacentral:rRNA from 1 species
UACGAAGGGUGCAAGCGUUACUCGGAAUUACUGGGCGUAAAGCGUACGUAGGUGGUGAGUUAAGUCUGAUGUGAAAUCCCCGGGCUCAACCUGGGAAUGGCAUUGGAUACUGGCUCGCUAGAGUGCGGUAGAGGGUGGUGGAAUUCCCGGUGUAGCAGUGAAAUGCGUAGAGAUCGGGAGGAACAUCUGUGGCGAAGGCGGCCACCUGGACCAACACUGACACUGAGGCACGAAAGCGUGGGGAGCAAACAGG